rnacentral:rRNA from 1 species
UACAGAGGGGGCGAGCGUUGUUCGGAAUUACUGGGCGUAAAGGGCGCGUAGGCGGCCCGCUAAGUCGAACGUGAAAUCCCGAGGCUCAACCUCGGAACUGCCUUUGAUACUGGCAAUCUCGAGUCCGGAAGAGGUGAGUGGAAUUCCUAGUGUAGAGGUGAAAUUCGUAGAUAUUAGGAAGAACACCAGUGGCGAAGGCGGCUCACUGGUCCGGUACUGACGCUGAGGUGCGAAAGCGUGGGGAGCAAACAGG